rnacentral:rRNA from 1 species
UUCGGAUUGUAGUCUGCAACCCGACUACAUGAAGCUGGAAUCGCUAGUAAUCGCGAACUCAGAAUGUCGCGGUGAAUACGUUCCCGGGUCUUGUACACACCGCCCGUCACACCAUGGGAGUCGGAAAUGCCCGAAGUCAGUGACCUAACCGAAAGGGAGGAGCUGCCGAAGGUGGAGCCGGUAACUGGGGUGAAGUCGUAACAAGGUACC